GUUGUUGUGGCCAAGUGGUUAAGGCAAUGGACUAGAAAUCCACUUGGGUCUCCCCGCACAGGUUCAAAUCCUACCAACAACA